CUAAGUUUCCGUAGAGCGAUCUGCACAAUUAUAACUGGAGCUCCUUUAUAGAAAGGAGGAGAGGCAGAGAAAAGUCUUCCAUCUUCUGGUCCACUCCCCAGAUAUCUUCAGUAGCCACAGAUGGACAGAUCCAGAACUGGGAGCCUGAAGCUUCGUCUAGGUUACCAGCUAAUUCACUGCCUACAGUGAACAGACAGUGUCAGUGAACCCCAAUCACACACAGCUUCGAUGAAUUCCAUUGU